AUUGAACGCUGGCGGCAGGCCUAAUACAUGCAAGUCGAGCGCGCGGCUGCCGGGUGAGUAAUGUAUGGGGACUGCCCGUUAGAGAGGGGUAACUACUUGAAACGUUAGCUAAUACCGCAUACUUUCGGAUAACCUAAAUGGGAUUAGCUAGUAGGUGAGGUAAUGGCUCACCUAGGCGAUGAUCCCUAGCUGUACUGAGAGGAUGAUCGGCCACAUUGGGACUGAGACACGGCCCAGACUCCUACGGAGGCAGCAGUGGGGAAUAUUGCACAAUGGGCGAAAGCCUGAUGCAGCCAUGCCGCGUGUAUGAAGAAGGCCCUAGGGUUGUAAAGUACUUUUAGUCGGGAGGCGUUAACGAAAGAAGAAGCAACGGCUAACUACGUGCCAGCAGCCGCGGUAAUAC
rnacentral:rRNA from 1 species